rnacentral:rRNA from 1 species
AACGAACGCUGGCGGCAUGCCUAACACAUGCAAGUCGAACGAGACCUUCGGGUCUAGUGGCGCACGGGUGCGUAACGCGUGGGAACCUGCCCUUAGGUUCGGAAUAACUCCCCGAAAGGGGUGCUAAUACCGGAUAAUGUCUUCGGACCAAAGAUUUAUCGCCUUUGGAUGGGCCCGCGUUGGAUCAGCUAGUUGGUAGGGUAAAAGCCUACCAAGGCGAUGAUCCAUAGCUGGUCUGAGAGGAUGAUCAGCCACACUGGGACUGAGACACGGCCCAGACUCCUACGGGAGGCAGCAGUGGGGAAUAUUGGACAAUGGGCGAAAGCCUGAUCCAGCAAUGCCGCGUGAGUGAUGAAGGCCUUAGGGUUGUAAAGCUCUUUUACCCGGGAUGAUAAUGACAGUACCGGGAUAAUAAGCUCCGGCUAACUCCGUG